rnacentral:rRNA from 1 species
UUUUAAAUGUAAAUAAUUUUUUAAAUUAGUAUUAGUUAUGUUCUUGAAAGUUAAAAAAUUUGGCGGUAUUUUAGUCUAUUUAGAGGAACCUGUCCUAUAAUUGAUAUUCCACGAUUUAUUAUACUUAUUUUAUAUAAAUUUAUAUAUCGUCGUAGUUUGAAUAUUUUAAAAGAAUAAAAAUAUUCAAAAUUUUUAAUUAAAAAGGAAAUCAGAUCAAGGUGUAGUUUAUAAAUAAGAAGAGAUGGGUUACAAUAAAAUUAUUUUUUUGGAUUAAUUAAUGAAAUUUAAUUAUGAAAUUGGAUUUAAUAGUAAUUUUAAAUAAUUUUUUAAAAUGAUUAUAGCUCUAAAAUAUG